rnacentral:rRNA from 1 species
AAUAGAUACCCCGGUAGUCCACGCCGUAAACGAUGUCGACUUGGAGGUUGUGCCCUUGAGGCGUGGCUUCCGGAGCUAACGCGUUAAGUCGACCGCCUGGGGAGUACGACCGCAAGGUUAAAACUCAAAUGAAUUGACGGGGGGCCCGCACAAGCGGUGGAGCAUGUGGUUUAAUUCGAUGCAACGCGAAGAACCUUACCUACUCUUGACAUCCAGAGAACUUAGCAGAGAUGCUUUGGUGCCUUCGGGAACUCUGAGACAGGUGCUGCAUGGCUGUCGUCAGCUCGUGUUGUGAAAUGUUGGGUUAAGUCCCGCAACGAGCGCAACCCUUAUCCUUUGUUGCCAGCGGUUAGGCCGGGAACUCAAAGGAGACUGCCAGUGAUAAACUGGAGGAAGGUGGGGAUGACGUCAAGUCAUCAUGGCCCUUACGAGUAGGGCUACACACGUGCUACAAUGGCAUAUACAAAGAGAAGCGACCUCGCGAGAGCAAGCGGACCUCAUAAAGUAUGUCGUAGUCCGGA